UUUUCAACUUGGCUAAUCUAAAAAAAAAUACCAGUCAGAAAACAGAAACAAAAAACUCUUGGAAAACAAGAUUGGAUUUGACCUCUCAUACAAAUUAAACCGGAUUCCGGCGAGAUCAAGUUAUACGUACGUUAAUUUAGUCACACUGUCACAGCCACUCCAGGUGAGACCGACCCGUCUCAGGCUGGUUUAAUUAAGCAGCUAGCAGCCCAGCGGGGAUACAACCAGCGCUUAGUAAGUGGCGGCAACAGCCCGGCUGGAGCAAUGAAGCUUACUGUUAUCGUUAUGAAAAGGAGAAAGGGAGUUUCCGAUGGAUGUUUUGUGGAGAAAGAAUUAGCAGUAUAUAGCUAGGCUGAAUUUCCCAGAGGCCCCUGUCCUUUCAAAUUUUAGAAAGAAAUGGAACGAAGCCAAGCCUCAGCAGUAUAUAUUAUCUCAUUCACGAUUUACAUUAACUACAGUUCACAAUUGUAUGAUGUGGUUAAAAUUUAUGGAGGAUGUGACAUAUUGUACCAUUAUACGUAUGUAUGCAGGCCUUUAAGCUUAAAUAUUAUGUAAAACUUCAACUAUUUCGAUGACAUGAUAUAUUUCUUUCAUAAA